rnacentral:lncRNA from 1 species
GACUCCUAAAUUGAUAAAAAUAUUUUAGAUAAAAUGUUUUCUUAGUCUCCAAGCAAUUCCAUUUGCUGGGCAGCAGUCAAUUCAAAUCAUAAAGCACUGGAGAAGUCGUGACUUUCAGUGUGCUUUGCUUGAAGUAUAUACUGACUGCCUAGGAAUUGGGCUCCUCUAAUACUUCAAAACACUUUGAAUAAAUGAUUAAAAACGUUUUCAGAAUGUUCUAUACUCUAACAUGGUGGUAAGAAGGGGAUCUCAAGCCUCACUGCCUGGUUUCAAAAUCUGCUGCUGUCAUUUACUAGCUGAAGAACUCUGGUGAUGAUGGUCAUGUUGGUGACAGCUGGAGGUUAAGGAGUUUCAGUGAAGAUGCCAUUUAAAACAGAAUUUAAGGAAGAGAAUUUGCCUAAAGCACAAGGAAAGAAAGCCUUGUAAGUAGAGGAUACAGCAGGAGCACAAUCACUGCUGUGUGCAAAAUCGCUGAGGGACGUUGGUUCUGCAAGUACCUCAGACGAGGUGGUGGGGAGGGUGGCAGG